rnacentral:rRNA from 1 species
GAUGAACGCUGGCGGCGUGCCUAAUACAUGCAAGUCGAGCGAACGGACGAGAAGCUUGCUUCUCUGAUGUUAGCGGCUGACGGGUGAGUAACACGUGGAUAACCUACCUAUAAGACUGGGAUAACUUCGGGAAACCGGAGCUAAUACCGGAUAAUAUUUUGAACCGCAUGGUUCAAAAGUGAAAGACGGUCUUGCUGUCACUUAUAGAUGGAUCCGCGCUGCAUUAGCUAGUUGGUAAGGUAACGGCUUACCAAGGCAACGAUGCAUAGCCGACCUGAGAGGGUGAUCAGCCACACUGGAACUGAGACACGGUCCAGACUCCUACGGGAGGCAGCAGUAGGGAAUCUUCCGCAAUGGGCGAAAGCCUGACGGAGCAACGCCGCGUGAGUGAUGAAGGUCUUCGGAUCGUAAAACUCUGUUAUUAGGGAAGAACAUAUGUGGAAGUAACUGUGCACAUCUUGACGGUACCUAAUCAGAAAGCCACGGCUAACUACGUG